rnacentral:rRNA from 1 species
AAGAGGGAACUGUGGUCACCAAAAGUAAGCAAGAAAAUCCCACGAACAGACGCCAAAUCGUUAACCCUACACUGGAGUGCCAUUUUAAAGGAAAGACUAAAAGAAAAGGAAGGAACUCGGCAAACAAAAGCCUCGCCUGUUUACCAAAAACAUCGCCUCCUGCAAAGAUCUAAGUAUAGGAGGUCCAGCCUGCCCAGUGACUAUGGGUUUAAC